rnacentral:rRNA from 1 species
UACGUAGGUGUCAAGCGUUGUCCGGAUUUAUUGGGCGUAAAGCGCCCGCAGGCGGCUUGCCAAGUUCGAUGUGAAAUCUCCCGGCUCAACUGGGAGGGUGCAUCGAAAACUGGCAGGCUUGAGGCAGGGAGAGGGAUGUGGAAUUCCAGGUGCAGUGGUGAAAUGCGUAGAUAUUGGGAGGAACACCAGUGGCGAAGGCGGCUCACUGGACCGGUUCUGACGCUGAGGCGCGAAAGCGUGGGGAGCAAACAGG